rnacentral:rRNA from 1 species
GAUACGGUUAACGGAGCGAAAGCGACGUUCAACCGCAAAAGAAGCAGAGGGGGCUUAGUGGUGGGGUGACUGCGUACCUUUUGUAUAAUGGGUCAGCGACUUAUAUUCUGUAGCAAGGUUAACCGAAUAGGGGAGCCGGAGGGAAACCGAGUCUUAACCGGGCGUUAAGUUGCAGGGUAUAGACCCGAAACCCGGUGAUCUAGCCAUGGGCAGGUUGAAGGUUGGGUAACACUAACUGGAGGACCGAACCGACUAAUGUUGAAAAAUUAGCGGAUGACCUGUGGCUGGGGGUGAAAGGCCAAUCAAACCGGGAGAUAGCUGGUUCUCCCCGAAAGCUAUUUAGGUAGCGCCUCGUGAAUUCAUCUCCGGGGGUAGAGCACUGUUUCGGCUAGGGGGCCAUCCCGGCUUACCAACCCGAUGCAAACUGCGAAUACCGGAGAAUGUUAUCACGGGAGACACACGGCGGGUGCUAACGUCCGUCGUGAAGAGGGAAACAACCCAGACCGCCAGCUAAGGUCCCAAAGUCAUGGUUAAGUGGGAAACGAUGUGGGAAGGCCCAGACAGCCAGGAUGUUGGCUUAGAAGCAGCCAUCAUUUAAAGAAAGCGUAAUAGCUCACUGGUCGAGUCGGCCUGCGCGGAAGAUGUAACGGGGCUAAACCAUGCACCGAAGCUGCGGCAGCGACGCUUAUGCGU